GUAGGUGGCAAGCGUUGUCCGGAAUUAUUGGGCGUAAAGCGCGCGCAGGCGGUUCUUUAAGUCUGAUGUGAAAGCCCACGGCUCAACCGUGGAGGGUCAUUGGAAACUGGAGAACUUGAGUACAGAAGAGGAAAGCGGAAUUCCACGUGUAGCGGUGAAAUGCGUAGAGAUGUGGAGGAACACCAGUGGCGAAGGCGGCUUUCUGGUCUGUAACUGACGCUGAGGCGCGAAAGCGUGGGGAGCAAACAGGGAUUAGAUACCCUGGUAGUCCACGCCGUAAACGAUGAGUGCUAAGUGUUAGGGGGUUUCCGCCCCCCUUAGUGCUGCAGCUAACGCAUUAAGCACUCCGCCUGGGGAAUACGGCCGCAAGGCUG
rnacentral:rRNA from 1 species